rnacentral:rRNA from 1 species
AAUAGGUUUGGUCCUGGCCUUUCUAUUAGCCCUCGGUAAGAUUACACAUGCAAGCAUCCCCGCCCCAGUGAGAUCGCCCUCCAAAUCACCCAUGAUCAAAAGGAGCAGGUAUCAAGCACGCAACAAUGCAGCUCAAAACACCUUGCCUAGCCACACCCCCACGGGAAACAGCAGUGAUAAACCUUUAGCAA